rnacentral:rRNA from 1 species
GAUGAACGCUAGCGGCAGGCCUAAUACAUGCAAGUCGAACGGAUAUAUGUUUUUCGGAAUAUAUAUUAGUGGCGCACGGGUGAGUAACACGUACAUAACUUGCCCUCAAGCGGGGGAUAGCCUUGGGAAACUGAGAGUAAUACCCCAUAGAAUUAUUGGACGGCAUCGUUUGAUAAUUAAAACUACGGUGUUUGGGGAUAGAUGUGCGUCUGAUUAGCUAGUUGGUGAGGUAACUGCUCACCAAGGCGACGAUCAGUAGGGGGCGUGAGAGCGUGGCCCCCCCACACGGGUACUGAGACACGGACCCGACUCCUACGGGAGGCAGCAGUAAGGAUAUUGGUCAAUGGAGGGAACUCUGAACCAGCCAUGCCGCGUGAAGGACGACGGCCCUCUGGGUUGUAAACUUCUUUUGGAUGGGGCGAAAAAACGGGAUUUAUCCUGGACUGACGGUACCAUCAGAAUAAGCACCGGCUAACUCCGUGCCAGCAGCCGCGGUAAA